AACGAACGCUGGCGGCAGGCCUAACACAUGCAAGUCGAACGCUCCGCAAGGGGAGUGGCGCACGGGUGAGUAACACGUGGGAACCUACCUUCUGGUACGGAACAACCAAGGGAAACUUUGGCUAAGACCGUAUACGACCUCCGGGUGAAAGAUUGAUCGCCGGAAGAGGGGCCCGCGUCCGAUUAGGUAGUUGGUGAGGUAACGGCUCACCAAGCCUUCGAUCGGUAGCUGGUCUGAGAGGAUGACCAGCCACACUGGGACUGAGACACGGCCCAGACUCCUACGGGAGGCAGCAGUGGGGAAUAUUGGACAAUGGGCGCAAGCCUGAUCCAGCCAUGCCGCGUGAGUGAUGA
rnacentral:rRNA from 1 species